rnacentral:rRNA from 1 species
UCUACGGGAGGCAGCAGUGAGGAAUAUUGGUCAAUGGGAGAGAUCCUGAACCAGCCAAGCCGCGUGAGGGAAGACGGCCCUAUGGGUUGUAAACCUCUUUUGUCGGAGAACAAAACCCGGGACGUGUCCCGGACUGCGUGUAUCCGAAGAAAAAGCAUCGGCUAACUCCGUGCCAGCAGCCGCGGUAAUAGGGAGGAUGCGAUGGUUAUCCGGAUUUAUUGGGUUUAAAGUGUGCGUGGGCGGUCCGUUAAGUCAGCGGUAAAAUUGUGGGGCCAAACCCCGUCGAGCGGUUGAAACGGGCAGACGUGAGUUGGAGAGAGGUACGCGGAAUGCGCGGUGUAGCGGUGAAAUGCAUAGAGAUCGCGAAGAACUCCGAUUGCGAAGGCAGCGUACCGGCGCCAGACUGACGCUGAGGCACGAAAGCGUGGGGAUCGAACAGGAUUAGAUACCCGGGUAGUC